rnacentral:rRNA from 2 species
CUGAUCUCAAAUCAGGUAGGACUACCCGCUGAACUUA